AAAAUUGACGUAUAUGGUCGUUCGUUGUGGUGAAAGGGCUGCGUAGUGGAUAAGUUGGAGAAGGAUCUUUAAAAUAUAAAUCAAAUGACAUUUGAAGAUUAAAAUAAAAAUAACUUAGUCCGUGACAUCCCUAGAAAUCCACGUACGCAUAUACGAACCUCAGAUCACUGCAAAAUGCAGUAGCCGCUUCGCUGGAACUCCUCAGUUAUUCACACUUCAACGUUUCCUCUUCCUUAAGAAACUUCCCUUCGUUUUUUAAAAGUCUUAAUAUUAUUCGUAUAAUCAUCUAUUCAUCUUUGGUCGGUGAUCGCAUAAUGAUGAAAUUUUCUUAAGUUAUCGUCGUCAGUCUUUUUUCUUUUUCUGUUUCUUUUUGGGUUUGAUAUUAAGUCUUAUGUAUAUUGUUAUAAGAAUAUAAAUGUUCUUACUUUUAUUUGUAGACAUCUCUGUUCUGAUGUUACUUG